rnacentral:rRNA from 1 species
UAUCCGGAAUUAUUGGGCGUAAAGGGCUCGUAGGCGGUUCGUCGCGUCCGGUGUGAAAGUCCAUCGCUUAACGGUGGAUCCGCGCCGGGUACGGGCGGGCUUGAGUGCGGUAGGGGAGACUGGAAUUCCCGGUGUAACGGUGGAAUGUGUAGAUAUCGGGAAGAACACCAAUGGCGAAGGCAGGUCUCUGGGCCGUUACUGACGCUGAGGAGCGAAAGCGUGGGGAGCGAACAGGAUUAGAUACCCUGGUAGUCCA